AAUUUGUAAUAGUUCCUUUGGGUCAUCCUAUGUGUAAUUAAUAUCGAUAGUAUUUAGUGCGAGUUCAUUCGAUCGAUAGGAACAACGGUAAAAUUUCUAAUGCUACUUUCAACGUCACUAUUAAUCAUGGAAUUUAUUAGCGCAUUUUUAAAAAAAUAUUUUCGAUCUACGUAUCGUAUGAUCUUGUCGUACAUGACGAACGUAUUUUUCGAAUGAGUUACUUCUCAUAAAUGUCAAGUCGCGUUCUAAUCAAGGUCGACGGCCUAAUAUCCGUCCAACCGACGAUGACCCUCGAUGAAUGUUGACGUUGGAAGUCAAAAAAGGAAAACAUAAGAAAAGGAAGUGCUUGCCUCUAGCUAAAAGAGAAUAUAGGUCAGUGGUACUGACUGUUAUAAUUGCGUUCACUAUGUCAAUCGAUUGUCUGACGAUUUCAUUAGAGACAAAGUUGAUUAAUCAUUUUAGGGCACGUUUCCUGUUCAAAACGAAGGUAUCGAUAAUUCAUUUAAUUACAAUAGAAUCUGUAAACUGUUAUAUAAAGAUAUAAAACAGUAAUUUGUAUCUAUUAUUAUAAAGUUUUAUUGGAAUAAUACAUAAAUAUAAAUAUACAUGUUUAAGAAUAAUUGAAACAAUAAUCUAACGUUGGCAAUUAAGAUUUAAUGCUUCGGCUAUUUUUACGGAAUUCAGUCUAAUUAGUAGAAAUUUAUGAAGCAAAUUCUUCUCGAAGUUAUCGACCGUUCGUAUUGUUCAACGAGUUCUCAUUGAAGAAUCGGUAGAUAUAGAAAAUUCGGUCAGCUUUCAUAUGUUAUAGAAUGCAUCGUGAUUGAAUAUUAACCAACGUAACUCCGUUAUCAUUGUAAAGAAUAAUCAUUGCUACAAAUGUUAAGUUCAAUGACGUCUCGUCGUGCUUGUUUAGAAAUUCCAUGUGGCAUCUUAUAAAAUAUAAAAUCGUUGUCACGACGUUUACGAUCUAUAUGCCCGUGAAAUCUUUUAAAAUAAACUCGUUAUGUGAUAAUCGAUUAAGAUAAGGAUUUUGUGAAUGUGUAUUGGGAUAAAUCGGUGACUAGUAAAAAUAUAUACAAGUAAAAGAGAGAGAGAGAGAGAGAGAGAGAGAGAGAGAGAGAGAGAGAGAGACAGAAGACAGAACAUGCUCACGCAUCUUACGUCAACGGCAAUGACUAACGGUAAUAAUCUCCAAGGCUGUGUAACGCCAGGGAGACCAGUCAAGUUCAAGAUCCCAAGGCUCGAUGAUGCGAGCUGAUGAAAUAACGAGGAGAAAAGUUAGAGAAGAGCGAGAAGGAACAAGUACGCUGAUAUAUCUGUAGAUGUAUAGGAAGAAACCGAGUGACCAAAAUAAAGAUGACCAUUCAGAAAUAGACAGAGUGAACUACUUCUGUAUUCGCACUUACUUAUGCCCACUAUAAUAAAUUUAUUUGCAUUUGAAUUGAACGUAGGAUAUAUUCGUAGAUUGUUAUAAGGCGACGUCUGUAAAAUUAUAUUGAGAUUAUUUCGAUGGAACUUUUUUUAAAUCACAUAAAAUAACUGUAUCAACUACAAGGAAAAAAUGAAAUAAUAUAAUUCUAUUUCUUCUUUUUUUUUUUUUUUUCUUUUUUUGAAUAUUCAUAAACUUUGUAAUAUUAUAUAUUGUAGAACGUAUAAUUAUAUAAUUUAGUACACAUUAAUUAUAUCAAUAUAUAAAAUAUAGAAAACUAAAUGAAUAUAUAUAUAUAUAUUGUAAGAGAAUAAUAUAUGCAUUUUUUUUUCAAUUUUACCAUCUCAAUAAAUUCAACUCCUACCAUUUUAACGAUUUUACGUGCCACCUCCCGAUAAGUUAUAUUCUCCUAUUGGAAAAUUCAAAUUAUGGAGAACGUAGAAAAUUUUUCCCGCAAAUCUGGAUUUCUAUCAGGAUCACACGAUGCACGAAGAGGUGGCACAAUCUCACGUGCCACACCUCCUGGUAAGUUAUAUUCUCCUAUUCGAAAAUUCAAAUUACGAAUGGCGCAGAAAAUUUUUUCCCGCAAAUCUGAAUUUGUAUCACAUAAUGCACAAAGAGGUGGCAUGCGAUAUUGUGCCAUUGAUUUUAUUUUAUCAUUAGAAAUUUUACAAUGUUAUGAUAAAAUAAACGUUAAAAUGUAAGUUGUAAAUGUAAAAAUUUUAGUUGAUUUUUUUCAACCAUUUACAAGGAAUUUUGUGAUAGCACAUAACAAAAAGUUUAAAUCCAAGAACAUGUAGGUUCUGUCAACAAAUAAAAUAAGUUAUAUUAUUAUUUCAUAAACGUACAAUGUUUAUAUAUAUAUAUAUAUAUAUAUAUAUAUAUAUAUAUAUAUAUAUAUAAAUAUACACCAUUACCUGUUAAGUAGUAAGUGCUUCCUAAUUAUUUGUCAUAUAAUCGUUUGAAUUGCCUUUAUUUGGAAUCGUAAUAAAAAAUAAACUUGUCGCACAUUUUAAUAUUAUACAAAAAUGUAAUUUUAUUCUUUAUGACGACACCGAAAGAAAAUAUAACUAUAAAGAAAAUAGUUUAUAAAAAAACAGUACGUUCGAUUUAUAUGUAUAUAUCUGAUAUUUUCCUUAAGUAUUGGAAUAUGCAAAAACAUUUUUUUUACAUUUUUAAUACUUAGAGAAAUUAUCGCGCGUAUACAUUUAAACUGAAGAAUAAAUAUAUAUAUAUAUAUACUGUAUACAUAUAUAUAUAUAUAUAUAUAUAUAUAUACUGUAUAUAUAAUUUCAGUAUAAGAUUUCUUAAAUCACGAAGGUGCUGUAAGUUAUGACCGCUUAAGUUAUGAUCACCUAAAGUUAUAUCAUCAUGUAACACAAUGACUAUACUUUUUAUUUAAAAUUAUAUUACGAAGUACAUUUAUAUACAUAAAAAAUGUAUAGCUAUUGCAUUAAACUUAUGCUUUAAAGACAUCAUAUUCGCAUCCAUGUAACAAUAUUUUCUUAUAACGGUUAUCUUCAUGUUAUAUUCUGCAUUUAAUGUAGCGUAAUAUCACUUAUAUCUAAUUUGUAUCGCUCCGUUAUAAAUGAUACAGGAAUGUUAUCGGUUUCUUCUCCUAUCGAACAAAAACUUUCACAGAAUUUUGAAUGAUUUAUGUAAUGAAUAAUUUAUCAAAUAAUAGAAUAAAAUUGUGUCAAUAUAAGAUCAAUCAAAAGAACAGAGAAAAAGAAAAGAAAAGGAAAGAAAAGAAAAAAGAAAGAAAAAGAAAAGAAGGACACAGGACAUCUUUGCAUCAUUAACACCGGCCAUAAGUGUAGUACAUAUUCUGUAGGCCUACGACGAAAAUUAAAUUUCUCGUCGCCAUUAAUUUAUAUUGUACAAAAAGUUCGAGUUUCGCACCUGCAUCGCCGCUAUGAUUGAUUUAACAAUCACAACAAGUCGGUCAUUCGACUCGUUCUUAAAUUAUAAAUAGUUAAAUACACUUGUCUAUAUUUAUAUAAGAUUAUUUACCAUAAUGUUACAAUAAAAUCAAUUCGAUCAUCCAUACGAAUGAUAUACACUUAAAACUGACCUUCUUACAAAAAUCAUUAUAAGUUUUCAUUGGUUAGAUUGUUAUAUCGUAAAAUGAUGUACACACACAUAGGCUGGGCUCGUAUUGAAAAUACACUGCAAAUGAACUUUUCAAUAAUUCAACAUUGCUCUUGUUCCUCUUUCAUUUGUGUAAUUUUCUAGGGACAACAUUUAACAAACACUUGAGAUUCUUGCGAUAAACGAUAUAUCCACUUUUUUUUUUUUGUUCAUCGUGAGAUAUACAGCUAUACAAUGUAUAUAUAUAUACAUAUAUGUAUGUAUAUAUAUAUAUACUUUAUAUAUAUAUAUAUAUCAUAUAAUAUAUAUAUAUAUAUAUAUAUAUAUUCUUUUUUUUAUUUCGUUUGUAUGCCAAACACUUUACAUAUACAAUAUAUUCUUCUAAUUCGUUCUUUUUAUUAUAUCAAUAAAUGUUCUUAAAUUCAUCUCUGCUUUCGUAAAAUGCAUGACACAAAAAUAAAUGCUUGUAUCUGAAGUAUAUUUUUCUCUUAUCCUCCUUCUGUCGUCUCUCCGCCAUUUUCUCUCUCUCUCUCUCUCUCUCUCUCUCUCUCACUUCUAGCUCUUACUAACUCUCACACAUUCUUCUCUCUAACAUUCUCUCUAACUCUCCCGCAUUCCACGGCAACGUUACACCCUUCAUUAACACCAUACGUUAAUAAACCUUUUUACAAAAUAUCACAAAAAUCACACCAGCCUUUGUCCGUAAUAAGAAAUGAAAUCAUCGUGAAUGGUUCUUUCAACAUUGACAAAAUACAAAGGACAAUCUAAUACAUAUAUAUAUAUAUAUACAUAUAUAUAUAUAUUUUUCUUUUCAAAUAUCUAACAUCAUUAAAUUUGUAACAGAUUACGGGAUUGGUAAUAUACAUCGGUGCAUCCUUUGCAUGCUCGAGAGAAAAUAAAAAAACAAAACAAAAAAAAA